rnacentral:misc_RNA from 1 species
AGAGAGAGGCGUGCACCACAGGGAACAGGAAAAUAUUGAAUAUUGUCCAACCCUUUCUUUGCACCUACGAAACAAAAAUGGGAAGAUCAAGAUCAAGGAGUCGUAGUAGAAGCUAUGAAAGAAGACGGAGCAGAAGUGCUAGUUACGACAGUAGAAGCCCCUCUCCAGAGGAAGGGUACAGGGUUCAUGUGGCAGAUCUAGGAAUAGAUCCAUCCAAACGAGACCUUGAAAGAGCCUUUGAAAAAUUUGGGCCACUCAUAGAAGUGUGGGUUGCAAGGAACCCCCCAUGUUUUGCUUUUAUUGUAUACAAGUACAGGGAAGAUGCAGAAAAGGCUCUCAGAGAAAUGGAUGGCAAGCCUCUGUCGGGAGGAAGAAUAAGGUGCUCUUUAGCUCGCCCUAGAACAAGGGGAAGAAGGAGGCGGGGAUUUGACCCAAAUUUGCGCUGUUACACCUGUGGUGAGAAAGGCCAUUUUUCUCGUGACUGUGCUGAAAUUUGGAGACAGAGACGACGAAACAGAAGUCGGUACGUCGAAGCUGAAACGCAAGUGGUAAUGGUAUAUUGAUUGUGUUGGCAAAGAGUUGGCAAUGGCCUUGAGUUGAUGAUGGUGGUGGUCCUCCGCAAAAAAAUGGCGGAUCGGACCUCUCUAAAGUGUGAUUGGUUGAUUAUGGUCAACAGCCCUGUAUCAGGAUGUGCGAUCCCUGAAAAUAUAUUGGUGCAUCCCUCUAUGGUGGGCUUGAGUGGUAUUGUGUGUAGGCCUGUAUAAGAAAUAAUGUGAUAAUUUGCUAGUAGUCUUUUGGAGAGCGCAAGAGGAGGAGAACUAGGACAAGGUCAAGAUCAAGAAGCAGAUCAAGGUCACGAAGAAGCAGAUCAAGAUCCCGAUCUAGAAGAGACAGAUCAGGAUCAAGAUCAAGAAGUAGCAGGAAAGACAGGGACAAGAAAUCUAGGUCAAGAUCACCAAAGCGUGACAAACGCAAGGACUCUUCCUCCAAAUCCCCAAGGAGGAGCAGAGACAAGUCCAAAGACAGAAGCAACAGGGAGAGCUCUGAUAAAGGGAGUCCCCCACAAGGAGACCAGGAGCAAAUUCUGGACGAGAUCAGGCCCUCAUACUCACGGUCCCGAUCUAGGAGUGCCCCGAGGUCAGAAAGGUCACACAGGUCAGAAAGGUCACCCAGGUCAGAAAGGUCAGCUAGGUCUGGAACUAGAAGUCCCAGGGCUGAUAGGGAAGACAAUGAGGAGGACUGAGGGGGCGGGGCAGGAAGAUAAAGUGGUGAUUGUUAUUAUUUUCCCAGGAAUUUUAUCCAGUGAUUGUUGUACUGUAAGAAAACUGUCAAUUUAUUUGUUAAUGAUUGCUUCAAUAAAGAUUAGGAAAUCC